CCUACGGGGUGCAGCAGUCGAGAAUCAUUCACAAUGGGGGAAACCCUGAUGGUGCGACGCCGCGUGGGGGAAUGAAGGUCUUCGGAUUGUAAACCCCUGUCAUGUGGGAGCAAAUUAAAAAGAUAGUACCACAAGAGGAAGAGACGGCUAACUCUGUGCCAGCAGCCGCGGUAAUACAGAGGUCUCAAGCGUUGUUCGGAAUCACUGGGCGUAAAGCGUGCGUAGGCUGUUUCGUAAGUCGUGUGUGAAAGGCGCGGGCUCAACCCGCGGACGGCACAUGAGACUGCGAGACUAGAGUAAGGGAGGGGGAACCGGAAUUCUCGGUGUAGCAGUGAAAUGCGUAGAUAUCGAGAGGAACACUCGUGGCGAAGGCGGGUUCCUGGACAUUAACUGACGCUGAGGCACGAAGGCCAGGGGAGCGAAAGGGAUUAGAUACCCGUGUAGUC
rnacentral:rRNA from 1 species